rnacentral:rRNA from 1 species
GAUGAACGCUGGCGGCGUGCCUAAUACAUGCAAGUCGAGCGAACAGACGAGGAGCUUGCUCCUCUGACGUUAGCGGCGGACGGGUGAGUAACACGUGGAUAACCUACCUAUAAGACUGGGAUAACUUCGGGAAACCGGAGCUAAUACCGGAUAAUAUAUUGAACCGCAUGGUUCAAUAGUGAAAGACGGUUUUGCUGUCACUUAUAGAUGGAUCCGCGCCGCAUUAGCUAGUUGGUAAGGUAACGGCUUACCAAGGCAACGAUGCGUAGCCGACCUGAGAGGGUGACCGGCCACACUGGAACUGAGACACGGUCCAGACUCCGAGGGGGGGCAGCAGGGGGGAAUCUUCCGCAAUGGGCGAAAGCUGGACGGAGCAGCGCCGGGUGAGUGAUGAAGGUCUUCGGAUCGUAAAACUCUUUUAUUGGGGAAAAAAAAAUGUGUAAGUAACUAUGCCCGUCUGGCGGGUCCCUAAAAAGAAGCCCACGCCUACCCCCGGC